rnacentral:misc_RNA from 1 species
UCUUCACGAUCUCCACCACCGAAUCUUUCAUCCACUGAUCCAGUUUCUCAUAUAAAACCGCAGCCUUAUCACCACCGUCGUUGAUCUUAUUCUUACGCUUUACCACUGCCAUCCCCGUCUCUGUCCCUGCCUUCAUUGCCACCGAACAAAUCCUCCAUUGUUUCAUUCUAGAACAAGCAUCGAGCGCGACGGAGCUAGCACCAACAAGACAAUUCUGAUUGGUAGGAGGAGUUUUUCCUGGCAAGAGAGAAUUAUUGAAAUGCGGGUUUCCUCGACAACAAAUGGCCGUCGAUGCCAUCUAGUUACGAUGGCAGCAGAAACGGAAAGAGAAUCGGAAAUCGGAAAACGGAAAACACAGAAAAUAACGUAGAAGAGAGUGUGGAGAUUGAAUAGGGAAACAGAGGAUUUUUAAUUAUGGACGAUCAAGAUUGGCAUAUUAGUACUUAAUUAUUCGCAUAUGCAUAUAUACAAAACACGG